rnacentral:rRNA from 1 species
UACCAGCACCCCGAGUGGUCGGGACGUUUAUUGGGCCUAAAGCAUCCGUAGCCGGUUCUACAAGUCUUCCGUUAAAUCCAUCUGCUUAACAGAUGGGCUGCGGAAGAUACUAUAGAGCUAGGAGGCGGGAGAGGCAAGCGGUACUCGAUGGGUAGGGGUAAAAUCCGUUGAUCCAUUGAAGACCACCAGUGGCGAAGGCGGCGGCCUGGACCGAUACUGACGCUGAGGUGCGAAAGCGUGGGGAGCAAACAGG